rnacentral:rRNA from 1 species
UACAUAAGUGGCGGACGGGUGAGUAAUAUGUAGAGAAUCUGCCUUCAAGCGGGGGACAACGAGAGGGAAACUUCUGCUAAUACCCCAUAUGAGCGUACCUGUGAUGGUAUUCUUGAAAGCUCCGGCGCUUGGAGAUGAGUCUGCAUCUGAUUAGCUAGUUGGGGUGUAAUGGACCACCAAGGCGACGAUCAGUAGCUGGUUUGAGAGGAUGAUCAGCCACAAUGGGACUGAGACACGGCCCAUACUCCUACGGGAGGCAGCAGUAGGGAAUUUUGCGCAAUGGGCGAAAGCCUGACGCAGCAACGCCGCGUGAUCGCAGACGGCCUUCGGGUUGUAAAGAUCUGUCAGUAGGGACGAACAAUGACUGUACCUACAGAGGAAGCACCGGCUAACUCCGUGCCAGCCGCCGC